rnacentral:rRNA from 1 species
GGGUUGUGAGGUUAAGCGACUAAGCGUACACGGUGGAUGCCCUGGCAGUCAGAGGCGAUGAAGGGCGUGCUAAUCUGCGAUAAGCGCCGGUAAGGUGAUAUGAACCGUUAUAACCGGCGAUAUCCGAAUGGGGAAACCCAGUGUGAUUCGUCACACUAUCAUUAACUGAAUCCAUAGGUUAAUGAGGCGAACCGGGGGAACUGAAACAUCUAAGUACCCCGAGGAAAAGAAAUCAACCGAGAUUCCCCCAGUAGCGGCGAGCGAACGGGGAGGAGCCCAGAGCCUGAAUCAGCAUGUGUGUUAGUGGAAGCGUCUGGAAAGGCGCGCGAUACAGGGUGACAGCCCCGUACACAAAAGCGCAUGUGCUGUGAGCUCGAUGAGUAGGGCGGGACACGUGGUAUCCUGUCUGAAUAUGGGGGGACCAUCCUCCAAGGCUAAAUACUCCUGACUGACCGAUAGUGAACCAGUACCGUGAGGGAAAGGCGAAAAGAACCCCGGCGAGGGGAGUGAAAAAGAACCUGAAACCGUGUACGUACAAGCAGUGGGAGCACCUUUGGGUGUGACUGCGUACCUUUUGUAUAAUGGGUCAGCGACUUAUAUUCUGUAGCAAGGUUAACCGCAUAGGGGAGCCGGAGGGAAACCGAGUCUUAAUUGGGCGUUAAGUUGCAGGGUAUAGACCCGAAACCCGGUGAUCUAGCCAUGGGCAGGUUGAAGGUUGGGUAACACUAACUGGAGGACCGAACCGACUAAUGUUGAAAAAUUAGCGGAUGACCUGUGGCUGGGGGUGAAAGGCCAAUCAAACCGGGAGAUAGCUGGUUCUCCCCGAAAGCUAUUUAGGUAGCGCCUCGUGAAUUCAUCUCCGGGGGUAGAGCACUGUUUCGGCUAGGGGGCCAUCCCGGCUUACCAACCCGAUGCAAACUGCGAAUACCGGAGAAUGUUAUCACGGGAGACACACGGCGGGUGCUAACGUCCGUCGUGAAGAGGGAAACAACCCAGACCGCCAGCUAAGGUCCCAAAGUCAUGGUUAAGUGGGAAACGAUGUGGGAAGGCCCAGACAGCCAGGAUGUUGGCUUAGAAGCAGCCAUCAUUUAAAGAAAGCGUAAUAGCUCACUGGUCGAGUCGGCCUGCGCGGAAGAUGUAACGGGGCUAAACCAUGCACCGAAGCUGCGGCAGCGACGCUUAUGCGUUGUUGGGUAGGGGAGCGUUCUGUAAGCCUGCGAAGGUGGCCUGUGAGGGUUGCUGGAGGUAUCAGAAGUGCGAAUGCUGACAUAAGUAACGAUAAAGCGGGUGAAAAGCCCGCUCGCCGGAAGACCAAGGGUUCCUGUCCAACGUUAAUCGGGGCAGG